rnacentral:rRNA from 1 species
GAUGAACGCUGGCGGCGUGCCUAAUACAUGCAAGUCGAGCGAACAGACGAGGAGCUUGCUCCUCUGACGUUAGCGGCGGACGGGUGAGUAACACGUGGAUAACCUACCUAUAAGACUGGGAUAACUUCGGGAAACCGGAGCUAAUACCGGAUAAUAUAUUGAACCGCAUGGUUCAAUAGUGAAAGACGGUUUUGCUGUCACUUAUAGAUGGAUCCGCGCCGCAUUAGCUAGUUGGUAAGGUAACGGCUUACCAAGGCGACGAUGCGUAGCCGACCUGAGAGGGUGAUCGGCCACACUGGAACUGAGACACGGUCCAGACUCCUACGGGAGGCAGCAGUAGGGAAUCUUCCGCAAUGGGCGAAAGCCUGACGGAGCAACGCCGCGUGAGUGAUGAAGGUCUUCGGAUCGUAAAACUCUGUUAUUAGGGAAGAACGAAUGUGUAAGUAACUAUGCACGUCUUGACGGUACCUAAUCAGAAAGCCACGGCUAACUACGUG